rnacentral:rRNA from 1 species
UUCCUACGGGGGGCAGCAGUAGGGAAUCUUCCACAAUGGACGAAAGUCUGAUGGAGCAACGCCGCGUGAGUGAAGAAGGGUUUCGGCUCGUAAAGCUCUGUUGGUAGUGAAGAAAGAUAGAGGUAGUAACUGGCCUUUAUUUGACGGUAAUUACUUAGAAAGUCACGGCUAACUACGUGCCAGCAGACGCGGUAAUACGUAGGUGGCAAGCGCUGUCCGGAUUUAUUGGGCGUAAAGCGAGUGCAGGCGGG